rnacentral:sRNA from 1 species
GUUGGGCGUGGUGGCGCACACCUGUAAUCCCAGCAGUUUGGGAGGCUGAGGCAGGAGGAUUGCAAGUUCGGACUAGCCUCGGCAAUUUAGUGAAGCCUUAAGGAACUUAGCGAGACCCUGUCUCAA